GUGCUCGCUUCGGCAGCACAUAUACUAAAAUUGAAACAAUAGAAAGAAGAUUAGCAUGGCCCCUGCACAAGGAUGAUAUGCAAAUUCUCACACCACAGAGAUUG